UCCGGUUUGGCGCCGGCAGUCCCCCUAGAGUGCCCAACUGAAUGGUGGCAACUAAGGACAAGGGUUGCGCUCGUUGCGGGACUUAACCCAACACCUCACGACACGAGCUGACGACAGCCAUGCAGCAUCUGUGCAUGGGCUCCGAAGAGCGGCCCUGAUCUCUCAAGGCCUUCCCAUGCAUGUCAAGCCCUGGUAAGGUUCUUCGCGUUGCGUCGAAUUAAACCACAUGCUCCGCUGCUUGUGCGGGCCCCCGUCAAUUCCUUUGAGUUUUAGCCUUGCGGCCGUACUCCCCAGGCGGGGCGCUUAAUGCGUUAGCUUCGGCACGGACGGAGUCGACACCGCCCACACCUAGCGCCCAUCGUUUACGGCGUGGACUAC
rnacentral:misc_RNA from 1 species